rnacentral:lncRNA from 1 species
UUACACCAUGGAAAUUGCAAAUGCUACAAAUCAAGGAUCCUACCCCAGACUCAGAACUGGCUGUUAAACAUUUAUCUGCAGAGCACUGACAACAAGCAAGGAAAGGAGUCUAUCUUAGCAGGAGUAAUUCAUCUUAAUAAUCAGAAAGAGAACUACUUACGGACCAUGCAGAAGAUGUGCACAUUCCAGGUCCUAGAAAUUAUGCAACUAGAGCAGAGAGAGCUCUUGGCACCUUUAUGGAUCAAAUCGUGUCCCUGAAAAAUCUGUAUGUUGAAGCCCUAAUUCCCACUGUGACUAUAUUUGGAAAUAGGGCCUUUAGAAAGGUAAGUAAAGUCAUACGGUGAAGCUCCAAUACAACAUUACUGAUAGGAAGAGGAAAAUGUCUCAGUGUUGCAUGCAUAUAGAGGAAUAGCCAUGUGAGUACACAGCAAGAAGGUGGCUGUCUAC